GGCUAACUGUACUUUAGAAGCUCAGCUCUGGUUUUCAGACUCUUUGAAUUUCAAGCUGUAACAUCAAUGCUGAGUGAUACCACUAAAGAACUGUGAAAUGGAGAGCUACCCCCGUUCCCCCCUCCUCAUCCCCCCUGCAAAAUAAAAAGCAGGGGAGAAAAACAAUGCUACUCUGACUUAUUUAUCUUUAUCCAGUUCCUCUGUCAGUAAGGGGAUAAAGCGAAAAAUUCAGAACAAAGUAACUUAAAAAAUCAAAGGAUUAAACCCCUAUGUAUGUGAUCCUGAUGAAUUGGAUGAUUCAGAAGAUGUUAACCAGAGCAACAGCUGUAAUGGAAGGAGAGCCUGUAACAAACAGGUUUUCUGAUUUAUCGGGGUAAUCAAGCAUAGAAGUGGGCAGGCACUGGGUGGUACAGAAUACCAACAUUUUUUUGUGCUGCCUGGGAGAUAUAUUUGAACCUUUAGGGAAGAAUUGCCCCCCCCCCCCCCCUCACCCCCCCCUUAAUUCCACUGCAUAUUUUUUUUCUUCUUUUCCUGAAAGUGAAAAUAAAUAAAUGGCAGAAGAGGAAGGAAGAGCUGUGGAUCAGAUACAUCUUGCAUUAUUUUAUGAAGAAGCUUUAAUAUGUAAGCUGACCUCAGGCAGCACUACUGACAAUGCCAUUCUUCCAGCCAUACUGUAGUGCUAAAACAGGUGGGAUGGAAUUGGAACUUCAUUUGCUCUGAAUGCCAACCAGGGCUCAGAGGACAAGUGACCCUUCGCAGAUUCAGAGAUAGUCUUUCUGCUGGAGCCCCUUUGAUCUAGCGGCCAUGGUGAGCGACAGCUUCCCCAAACGGGACUUAUCUACCUGUGAGGACUAUUAAAGGAAUAAUCUUUCAUAUCCAAUUGAAGAAAGGAAUUUCACAAAUGCAAAAAAGUAUGUGUAAAUGAGUGUGUGCUAAUGGGAACUGUCAUCAAGGGAAUCUGGUGCAAGCAAUUCCCGAACGGAUGCAAGAUAUUGUGGGUAACCGUGGCUGUCAUCCCCUGGAAGUAAAACAAAGCACACAGAAUGGAAAACGUAUCUUUAACAGAAUAGCAAGAAAAAUCCUCAGCACUCAGCAUCAUAUAUGAACAAAUUAAUAUGUUUCUUUCUUCUGAGAUACAUGGGUAAUCUGUAGGGUAGA
rnacentral:lncRNA from 1 species